CCCUGAACGCCUCGCUCAGAGCAGUGGACUGAGAAGGGCGAUGAAAACAAAAAUGGACAUCAAACGAAAAUAGCCAGCCAUCAAUGUCAGACCUCUGACUGGCACAUCACGAAGAACCUGAGGGGAAAAAAGAAGUGAGAGGCCAGAGUCCAGAACAAUGGAGGCUCGCUAUGGUAACAUUGUGUUCAGCUCCAAGUUCGACUCAGGGAACCUGGCACGUGUGGAGAAGGUGGAGAAGGGCAGCUCCAGCCCUCCUACUGACACAGCUUCCAGCGGGGGUGCCCUCUCAGGGUCAAAUCUCACCCCUGACUAUGAGUUCAAUGUGUGGACGCAGCCAGACUGCGGCGGCACAGAGCACGAGAAUGGAAACAGAUCGUGGUUUUACUUCAGUGUACGAGGUGCUGCACCUGGGAAGAUACUGAAGAUCAAUGUGAUGAACAUGAACAACCAGAGGAAGCUCUACAGCCAGGGCAUGGCUCCGCUCGUACGCACGUUACCUGGCAAGAACCGGUGGGAAAGGAUCAGAGACAGACCCACAUGUGAGAUUAUAGAUAACCAGUUCAUCCUCUCAUUCACUCACCGGCUGCUGGAGACGCGAGGGGCGACCACCUACUUCUCCUUCUGCUUCCCAUUCUCCUAUAGUGAGUGUCAGGAGAUGCUGCAGCAGUUUGACAAGAGCUACCCCAGCGCUGCUCAACUCAGUCCGAGCAGCGCCCCAGGCAGUGUGUAUUAUCAUCGGGAGUUGCUGUGCCACUCUCUGGAUGGCAAUAGAGUGGACCUGCUCACUGUGACCAACUGUAACGGGAUGGAAGAGGAGAGAGAACCCCGUCUGCCUAAACUGUUUCCUGACACCAACACUCCAAGACCGCACUGCUUCUCCAGCAAAAGGGUGUUUUUUCUCAGCAGUCGAGUGCACCCCGGGGAGACUCCCUCGUCCUUUGUGUUCAACGGUUUCCUCAACUUUAUCCUGAGAAAAGACGACCCACGUGCUCACGCCCUUCGAAACAUGUUUGUGUUCAAGCUCAUUCCAAUGCUCAACCCAGACGGGGUUGUUCGUGGACACUACAGGACUGACUCCAGGGGUGUGAACUUGAACCGACAGUACCUGAACCCCAGCCCUGAGCUGCACCCUUCCAUCUAUGCAGCCAAAACUCUCUUGCUCUACCACCACACCCACAACCGCCUGCACAACACACAGUCCAGCCCUCACACUAACAGCCCCACACACACGCAGGCCCCGCCCCUCAGCAUCAAACCCGCCAACCAGCAUCAGUCUCCGCCCUUCACUGCACUUGAAGUCAGCUUAAACCAACGAAACGCAGAAAAGGAUGCAAAUCCUGCGCCGGCGGAGGUUCCCAUGGUGAUGGAGGAAAACGCCUGGGUCAACACGGAGAUGGGGAAGGGGGACCACAACAGCUCGUCAAGCUCCACAGAGACUGUAGCUCCUGUUACUGUGGAGGUAACAGAACCACAGGUGGAGGAACAGGAACAGGAAUCAAUUCCACCCCAGGAGGGGGGUGUGGCUUAUUAUGUGGACUUACAUGGCCACGCCUCUAAACGGGGAUGCUUCAUGUAUGGAAAUAGCCUUCCUGAUGAGAGCCAGCAGGUAGAGAACAUGUUGUAUCCAAGGCUGAUAGCUGUGAACUCUGCCCACUUUGAUUUCCUGGGCUGUAACUUCUCUGAGAAAAAUAUGUACGCACGGGACAAGAGAGACGGCCAGUCUAAAGAAGGCAGCGGGCGGGUGGCCAUUCACAAGGCCAUAGGGCUGCUUCACAGCUACACUCUAGAGUGCAACUACAACACAGGAAAAACCAUGAACACCAUCCCACCUGCUUGUCAUGACAACGGACGAGCGACCCCUCCUCCACCGCCAUCAUUCCCUCCAAAAUACACUCCAGAGAUAUUUGAACAGGUGGGGCGUGCUGUGGCGAUCUCAGCCCUGGAUAUGGCGGAGUGUAACCCGUGGCCACGCCUGGUGCUGUCUGAGCACAGCUGUCUGAUGAACCUUCGAGCUUGGAUCCUCAAACACGUCCGCAACACCAAAGGCCUGAACGCACACAUCAACGCUCAUCCUCCACCGAGAAUACACCACAAUGGCAGCAAGGCGUCACCGCCAAAGAGCUUCAACAACUGUCUGUCUGGCUCAGCGUCGGAGAACACGCUCAGCCGCAUUCGCUGUAACAGCCACAGUAGCAGCAGCCAGACGCCCUCCCCGAAGAUGCACAACUCCCCGAGCUUUACUUUUGGCUGCCCCCCAGCCCGAACACACACACAGCACAACGGCACGCACACCAGCGGACGCGGAGGCAACAAGACACUCGGGCCAGUCAGGGACCCUAAGCCUCAGGAGAAGAGACGCCCCCCCCACCACCGCUCCAUCCUACGGUCUCCCAGCAACAGCCACACACCCUCCCGCCCCCCACUCUCACCCCCUUCCUCCUCUUCCUCCUCGUCUUCCUCUGUGUGUGCAGCGGGCUCCUGUCCCCUCCCGGCCUCCGUCAGUAUGACAGGUCUGUACUCCCUCCAGUCCCCCAGCCUCUCCACCUUGCUCCCCUCCCUGCAGGCUCUGCCCCGCCCCGGGCUGCUCUCCAAACUGAGCCCCCUGCUCCUUCAGGGCCUCCCGCCGCCCACCAACACUCCAGCUGGGCCCACCCAGGACUCAAUCUAACCUGACGUGUGAGAGCUUGGGCAGAGUGUGUGUGUAUGUGUGUGUGUGGGUGGACUGAUUGAGUGUGAGCUCUUAAAACUGCCUGGAGUACCAGACAAGGGACUGUCACUACUGAAACGUUCACCUGCCUGGUACUCCAGGUCCUGUGGGUCAGUACACUGUUUGAUCCCGUGUGUGUGUGUGUGUGUGUGUGUGUGUGUGUGUGUGUGUCUGAAACAUUACUGGUGCUAAGCUAAAUUCUCAUCAGAUAUUAUGUUUUUCCUUCCACACAUAUCUGUGUAACGACAUGUAUCUACAGUAUUAGCACCUUAGGAUGAAUAAUAACACUUGAGAGUGCAAACGUUCCUUAAAACUCAAUUGUGACUGAAAUGUGUUUAAAAAUGUUUUUUGUUUUAUUACGAACCAUGAAUCAAGCUUUGCUUAUUACACUGUCGGUAAUAACUGUUCUUGUGGAUGUCCUGCAGACCGGUUAGUGAACGUGUUUAGCAAAGACAGACAGCUGCUUGUCUAUGUAACCUCCACUGUCCCUCAGGACUUAAAGAAAAUACAGUAUAGAUCUAUGGAAGUGUGUUGCAUUCAUAAAAGACACCUUAUCUUGUAAUUAUGAGUUACUACCUUAUAAUUAAAAUGAAAGAUGUAAUUCUAAGGUCCUAAUCUUUGGAAAGGCAUAAAUUUAGAUCCAUGAAGCAUCCAAUAUUUGUUUGAAAGGAUACUUGGCCGAUUUUCAAACAGCUUUGUAUCGUAACUGUGGGUAAUGUGAACUGUGGUAAACUUUCCUCCAUCUUUUCCUAGUCGACCAGUAGUCAUCAUUUAGGGCCAUUACUCGACCAGUCUCCCGCAUGUUUCUGAUAUUAACGUAAUGAUUAAAUGAUAUAUUUUGGUGGUUUGAGUUGAAGGUGUGAGAAAGAAUAGUAUCAGUAACAUUGUUAACACUGUGCUACAUUACAGAGAAAUACAAAACCGUACUAAUGAACCUUCAUUAAUAUAGGCCUAUAUUUUAUCUCCAAGUGCACGUCACACACUGAGCGAGCCGCCUGUUAAUGACGCUGUGGGCUAAUGGGCAUGUAGCUACUUCCAUGUUUCAGAUGAUGCGUCAUGUUUGUAGUCGACCAAUGAAGAUGAGUUUACAUAUCACCUUGGGUUCGUCCUUCACCUUCUCAAAAUGAUCCCACACUUUGGAUUUCCUGCCCGACAUGUUAUUAACUAGCCUGUGGAAUAACCGCAGGUAU